GAUGAACGCUGGCGGCGUGCUUAACACAUGCAAGUCGAACGGAAAGGCUCCUGCUUGCAGGGGUACUCGAGUGGCGAACGGGUGAGUAACACGUGGGUGAUCUGCCCUGCACUUCGGGAUAAGCCUGGGAAACUGGGUCUAAUACCGGAUAGGACCAUCGUUUAGUGUCGGUGGUGGAAAGUUUUUUCGGUGUGGGAUGAGCUCGCGGCCUAUCAGCUUGUUGGUGGGGUAAUGGCCUACCAAGGCGUCGACGGGUAGCCGGCCUGAGAGGGUGUACGGCCACAUUGGGGCUGAGAUACGGCCCAGACUCCUACGGGAGGCAGCAGUGGGGAAUAUUGCACAAUGGGCGCAAGCCUGAUGCAGCGACGCCGCGUGGGGGAUGACGGCCUUCGGGUUGUAAACUCCUUUCGCCAGGGACGAAGCGAAAGUGACGGUUCCUGGAUAAGAAGCACCGGCUAACUACGUG
rnacentral:rRNA from 1 species